UUUUGGUACGUCACAGGAUGGGGUUAUAUCUUAGUGCAGAUGGGCUGGUGGUCAUUCAGAGUUGGAGAGUUCAUAGAGGACCUGCGGCCACAGUCACCUUCCUCUUUACACCAUGCCGAAGAGGAGCGAUAUACUUCACUUUGAGAGUGACGAUGAGCUGGUGGCGAAGCCCAAAGCGCAGCCGUGUUUGAAGGUCAUCAUAGUGGUUCAGGUGCUACUGAGCGUGUUCACCUCUCUCCUGGCCGUCAAAGUGUUCACAAUGAAAGCCCCGGCCCCAGGGGUCAACUCAGAGAAUAUGUUCCCCAUCAGACUAGAAAGCCUCAGGCAGAUUAGCAACUGCAGCCAAGAGAUGGCAUCCCUGAGACACCAUCUCCAAACCCUGCAGACUCAGGUUAAGACCAGACCUCUCUGCCUUGAGCACAAUCUGACUAGUAUGAACUUGCUUCCAGGCCCCCCCGGUCCUAUGGGCCCAGUGGGACCACCAGGUGUACAGGGUACUCCCGGAGAAUCUGUUAUGGGAAAAAGUGGAAGUCCAGGACUACCAGGACAGAAAGGCGAGGAGGGAAUGUUGGGCCAGCGCGGCCCAGUGGGAGAUCCUGGACGUCCUGGAUAUCCAGGAGUCCCAGGAGUAAAAGGUUCCCAGGGUGAGGAGGGAGAUCCCGGAGAGAGGGUGAUGGGCCCUCCAGGCCCCUCAGGGGCCUGGAGGAAUAGCUGGCCCCCCCGGUCCAGUUGGCCCACGAGGCCCCCCAGGUGUACAAGGUGUUCCAGGAGCGUCUGUCAAGGGAGGUUCUGGGUUACAAGGUAUUCCUGGACCAAGAGGAAUAACUGGAUCCAAAGGUGAUAGAGGAUACCCAGGUGGCCGUGGUGCUAUGGGCCUGAAAGGAGAAUCUGGAUCACCAGGGAGGCCUGGACCAGCAGGACAGAGGGGUUCAAGAGGAUAACCUGGUUUGAGGGGAUCUCCAGGAACUAAAUUUGGGUAGGAGACGAAUGAAACUGGUCUACAGCAAUACGAAGUUGGAAAGUACUUAUGUCUGACCGGAAUCUAUCAAACGGGCUUGGCUACACACGUGGACUGACGAACACACAUGUAUACAUCAGACACACGGGCACCAAAUCACAGACACACAGAGACACAGAGGUGACUACUUGUAUCUACAAAUGUACUAUCACUUUGGAUAAAAGCGUCUACUACUUUUCUUCAUCCAUGAACACCAGAUUAUCCGAAUAGCCUUCUAUUGCUGUAAAAGAGCUCUGAGACAGUACAAACGUUGUCCUUUUAAAUAAACAGUUUUUAAAACACA